UUGAAUGAACUUAGAGUCGGUUGUCGCUGGCUGUCUUUUGCAGCAUGUACACGCCUUCUCUUUUCAUCCACACACACCCCUGUGCACUUGUGAGACUGGAGGCCGUAAAAAGCCUUCAGUCUGCUAAAUUCAUAUACAAACUCAUUUAAUUGAACUGAAUGUACUUGAUGUAACGCAUCAUUGAAC
rnacentral:misc_RNA from 1 species